CAGCCGCGUUGUAAUCACAGAGCGAAUAAUUCUUUCGCCUUUUACUAAAGAAUUCCGUGUGCUUGCAGCUUAAAACGGCAUACACCUAUUUUUGGACGGAGUUUUCCUUUUUGGAUUAG
rfam:Medicago truncatula strain A17 chromosome 7, whole genome shotgun sequence.